AGUGUCUCCGAGGAUGUGGAGAAUCAGGAGUGCAGAGACACUGUGGAGGGACUGCAAAUCUCUCUCGGGAGCAGAUGAAAAUACCAAGUGAAGUGAAGAAUGCCCAUUUCUUUCGCCCUGAAAUCCCACUUACAGUGUAAGCCUGGAGAAACUCCUCCCCAGGGCAUGGGAACACACGGAUGUUUGUUGCAGCAUUGCUGACAGCAGAGAACUUCCAAGAACCUGGCCAUCCUUCAAUAGAGAGGCACACUGAAGAAUUCACUGAUGUCAUAAGACCGGGGAGUCUCGUCACGUGACGGCUGGGAAUGGGGUUGAGGAUUGUUGAAGCCGCACGAUGGGCACCUGGGAAAGACACUCUUCUCUUCUUUUUACAUGCAUUUGAGACUUUUCCAUAAUAAAACAUUUUCCAACCGUUUCAACAGAUUUUAAAACAAAUGGACACUGGGUCUUCCCUAUGUUCACACUUAAUCGCAGCCAGCUGAGCUCACGGAGUCUUGGCCAGAGUGUUUCCGCUCUGUGCCCUCCUCCGAGGGUGCUUUUCUGGGGGUCGCGUUGCUACGAGCUGCCUUCGCCCGCUUCCUCAAUCUGCCAGUGAGUUUUCUUCUGUAGUGAGAAUAUUCUUCUCAAAUUGCCCCCAACUAAUCAGAGAAAAGACAUCAAUUUUCCUUUCUAUCCUUCCUGGCCUUCCUUAACUCCUUUUUCAACAUGAGAAAGAAGACAAAAUUGGGAAGAAUUAUAGUCGCCACACAAAAUGGGGAAGGUCUAUGUGCUGCUGGCUUUUCUAGUCCUAAGGGAGAGAUUUUCCCCUUUAUUCUUUUUUGAAAAAGGCCGCCUGUCUCCCUUCUAACAAAUGUUAUCCACUGCUAGGUACUGCUCAAGAUUUAUCUGUUGAGUACUCCUAUGUGUUCCCCAGAAACUUUAUUGUCUCAGAUGUAAACUAUUCUGGAAACCAGAGCCCUUUGGACUUCCGAAGGCGCUUGGAUCCUUCUAGCCUGUCCCUCUUUAAAAAGAUGAAUGGAACAAGACGGUUGCUACUUGUCCUGGGCAAACGUGGAUUGAAGGUGCCCAUCAUGAUCUCCGUGUUUCUCUGGAGAUGGAGGGCGAUGGACAGUUGUGUGGUAGACAGAAUGUGCAGCGCUUCGUGAGCGAGUGUCCGGGCACCAUGGAGACAUGCGGCCGUAAAAGUGUCUUCUCUCAUUUUCAAGA